UCAUAUACUUCAGCAAGCCACUUUUCCUAACAAGCUCCUCCAAAACCCAAUCUUACUCGAUGGUAAGGGCACCAACAUGCUCCUCAAGUACCCAUUUCCAUUUCUAAAGGUGGUCAGAUAUGAAGACCCCCCCCCCUUCCGGCGACACCAAAUUCUAAAACUGCUGAAGCUAUGCACAUCUGGUAUAAUAUAUUCACCACCACCUCCUAGAAAACGACUUUAAACUUAC
rnacentral:lncRNA from 1 species